CCCGCUGAACUUAAGCAUAUCAGUAAGCGGAGGAAAAGAAACUAACAAGGAUUCCCCCAGUAACGGCGAGUGAACAGGGAACAGUCCAGCGCUGAAUCUCGGCGUCUAGGCGCCGCGACGUGUAGCGUAUAGGCGGUGCGCUUUGCCAUGGCCGAAGGCACAAGUUUCCCAUGACCGGGGCGCCAUAGAAGGUGAUAGACCUGUAGCGCCUGAGGCCUAGGUGAAUUGCACUGUCUUGGAGUCGGGUUGUUUGGGAUCGCAGCCCAAAGAAGGUGGUAAACUUCAUCUAAGACUAAAUAUCCCUACGAGACCGAUAGCGAACAAGUACCGUGAGGGAAAGUUGCAAAGCACUUUGAAGAGAGAGUUAAAGAGGACGUGAAACCGGUAGGAUGGAAACGGAUAGAGCCAGCGAAGUCGCUCGUAUUCAGCCAAAAGUCCGGGGUUGCCUGUCGUCGUGUUUCUAAUCGAGCACGGCGGUUUGUCUUCUCUGGAUUGAGGUGCAUUUGCGGGCGUUUGCGCUGAGACUUGCGAGGCAGCUGCGGGACCGGCGUUUAGAGGCUUCCCAUUGGGUUGAACCUGGGCGCCGUUACAGCUGUUUGCCUUGCUCGUACUGGUCUGGCCUACGGACCCUGCUCGUGCUGUUGUCAACUGGCCAAGGCAUCGCAUGCGAUGUCUAGCCUGGGGGCUGCAGCGCGGAUUGGUGUCCCCGGAUCGCCUCUCGGUGUAGAAGCUGGUCAUCUCUCCGACCCGUCUUGAAACACGG
rnacentral:rRNA from 1 species